GAAAUAUAUUUAUUAAGCUUCUAACUUAAUUACUAGUGAAUAAACUUCAUUAAUAUUUCU
rnacentral:tRNA from 1 species